rnacentral:lncRNA from 1 species
AGAAAGGUGUGUGAACAAAGAAAAUCCCAGGGAUAUCAGAGGGAUGAAGGAGCAUUGGACAGGAGGAAUCAAUGGUUCUGUCAGUAAUACCCAUUUUCACAGUCCAAAAUACACCAAAAUACAAAAUAUUACAAUGACAGCCCUCAAAGUUCAAAGAGCAGUCAACAACUCUAGUGUAAAAAAUAAAUUUUGAGAAGAAAUGAUAUUACCAGCCUCUUUUGCAACCGAAAAGAACACGGCCUUGAUAAUCACGAGGUUCUCCAGAAAAACAGGAUUUGAAGGCUGCAAAUCAAAAACCCUAACUUCGACUCUGAACUCAAACCCUAGCUUCAAAAUAAUACUUGAACCCUAACAACAACGACAACAACAACAACAACAACAGUCUCCAACUCAAAACUAAAGGAAAACUUCAAAUCGACCGAGAUAUUGAGGAUAUAACCUGGAGAUUGCAAGAAAUUUAAAGAAAAUAUUUUUCGAGAGAGAAAAAAAUGAUCAUGAAUUUUCUCAAAAUUGAACGAGAGUACCAUCGCUCGAUUAAGCGUGACGAGAUCAAUCAGGAUCUACGCUCUGAUACCAUGUGAACAUCCUGGAUUGAUUGUAGAUUUAGGAACAAGAAGAUUAGAAAUCUGCGGAAUAUUUGAGAAGGAGAAGAAGAAGAGAUACAAUGUUUA